UGAGACAGGUGCUGCAUGGCUGUCGUCAGCUCGUGUUGUGAAAUGUUGGGUUAAGUCCCGCAACGAGCGCAACCCUUAUCCUUUGUUGCCAGCGAUUCGGUCGGGAACUCAAAGGAGACUGCCAGUGAUAAACUGGAGGAAGGUGGGGAUGACGUCAAGUCAUCAUGGCCCUUACGAGUAGGGCUACACACGUGCUACAAUGGCAUAUACAAAGAGAAGCGACCUCGCGAGAGCAAGCGGACCUCAUAAAGUAUGUCGUAGUCCGGAUUGGAGUCUGCAACUCGACUCCAUGAAGUCGGAAUCGCUAGUAAUCGUGGAUCAGAAUGCCACGGUGAAUACGUUCCCGGGCCUUGUACACACCGCCCGUCACACCAUGGGAGUGGGUUGCAAAAGAAGUAGGUAGCUUAACCUUCGGGAGGGCGCUUACCACUUUGUGAUUCAUGACUGGGGUGAAGUCGUAACAAGGUAACCGUAGGGGAACCUGCGGUUGGAUCAC
rnacentral:rRNA from 1 species